rnacentral:pre_miRNA from 1 species
UGUCCCCUCAGCCAGUCCUGUGCCUACCGCCUUUGUGCUGUCCUUGGAGGCAGAAGCAGGAUGACAAUGAGGGCAA